rnacentral:lncRNA from 10 species
CUUCAAGGGUGUAUUCUAACACCUGGCUGCCAGGUGAGUCUGCUGCCAGCCACACCCCUUAAGUGUGCAGCAACUAUUGUCUGGCUAGUGACAGAAUUUUUUUCUCAGUCCCUUUCAAGCUGAGACCUCUGGCUGGUGAUGCUCCACCCAGGCCUCCCUCAGCCAUGCUACCUGCUGCAGGAGAUGGCCCACUCACUCAGCCUGCCUCAGCCGAGUCUGGCUUGUGUACCAGUUCCUGAGUUCUUGUCCCACAUCCAAAAAGAAUGAGGAUACACUGACAAUCAAAGAGUGAGCAAGGCGGUGAGUCAAGAGCUCAGGCCACCUUUAUCCUGCUUUUUCAUCACCUUGGAAUCCCUUGUUUCUGAUAGUGUAGAUUACACAGAAAAGGAGGAAACAGAACGUGUUUUCAUUCUUAAUUGUCUAGGACCAGAAGCAACAGAUCCAUUAGACUCAAUAAUUAGUCACAUGAUUCCCCAAAAGAUGCAUACAUACUGGAUAUUAGGUAGGGAUUAACAGCCUCUGCCACAGGCAAUAAGUGAAAUAUUGUAUUCUAGCUGGGAGAGUUUGUUUCCAUGAGAAAGCUCAUGCAGGCUUGCAUGGCAGCCUAGUGCCUGGUGGGCUCAUGUGUGAGUCCCCCAAGGAGAAACAAUCUGUCUAGAGGGCCAGAGAGUUCCCAACAUCAAACUCAGUCAUCCCUUCAACCAUAGCCCACUUUGGUCAUAUUUUCUUUAAACUAACAUGUGCAUUCACACAUUACUCCAAGAAAUGUGUGUAUCCUGUCACUCCAGUUUUCUUGGGAAUUGAGACAUUCCUAUCUGGGCUUUUGUUUGCCCUAUUAUUUUUGCCUAUAAUGACCCCCCUAUUCUAACUGCAACCAAUAAUUGUUGAAAGCCUUACUUUCUUAAGACACAUUUAGAAUGGGUACACUUAGGAAGCCUUCUCUGAUCCUAUCGACCAAAUGUUCAUUCACUUAACAGACAUUUACAGCAGCAAAUAACAUAACAAAUUUUCUGAUCUUGCAGAGUAUACCUUCUAGUUGAAGGAGAGAGUAGUAAAGAACAAGUUUUUUUUAAAUGCCAAUUAUGGCAACAGCUAUUGAGGAAAAUAAAAUGGUAUUGUAAUGAAGACAGGUGGGAUACUUUAGUUUGGGCAAAGAACUUUUUGAGAAGGUGGCAUGUGGGCUGACACCUGAACACUUGAAUGUGUGCUCUGUCUUCCAUCUGGGGCCCCCAGAAAUGUGUUUGUACUACUUAAAAGAUACUUCUCAUAAUCUAUAUGGUAUUUAUUUUGUCUUCACCUCCUGGCCCAUUCUUUUAGAGUAUGAGCUCUUUAAGGGCAAAAACUGUUUUGUUUCUCUGUUCAUUGAAACUUAAAGUUUCCAUUUAAAUUUUG